AUUGAACGCUGGCGGCAGGCCUAACACAUGCAAGUCGAGCGGAUGAAGGGAGCUUGCUCCUGGAUUCAGCGGCGGACGGGUGAGUAAUGCCUAGGAAUCUGCCUGGUAGUGGGGGAUAACGUCCGGAAACGGGCGCUAAUACCGCAUACGUCCUGAGGGAGAAAGUGGGGGAUCUUCGGACCUCACGCUAUCAGAUGAGCCUAGGUCGGAUUAGCUAGUUGGUGGGGUAAAGGCCUACCAAGGCGACGAUCCGUAACUGGUCUGAGAGGAUGAUCAGUCACCCUGGAACUGAGACACGGUCCAGAGUCCUACGGGAGGCAGCAGUGGGGAAUAUUGGACAGUAGGCGGAAACCUUGUCCAGUCAUGCCGCGUGUGUUGCGAAGGUCUUCGGAUUGUAAAGCACUUUAAGUUGGGGGGAAGGGCAGUAACUUAAUACCUUGCUGUUUUGACGUUAACAACAAAAUAAGCACCGGCUAACUUCGUG
rnacentral:rRNA from 1 species